GCCGGGCGUGGUGGCGCACGCCUGUCAUCCCAGCACUCGGAGGCUGAGGCAGGAGGAUCGCUGGGAGUUCGAGACCAACCUGGGCUUCAAGGCCAGCCUGAGCUGCACAGCGAGACCCUGCCUCAG
rnacentral:SRP_RNA from 1 species